GAAGCCCCUGUUGAACUGGAUAGUGAGUCGAGUGACCGAGUUAGGCGGUAAUGUUAGUUCGAGCUCCAGUGUGUACGGUCGCUGGCGGUCCUGGGCAGGAACGAAGAACAAGUUGCCUGGAAAAGAAGAAGAAAAACCAGAGGUGUGAAGGAACAUCCUCAGAAACCACGGAUAGGUAGCAAAGUACACCACAGACAAGGGCUUGCUGGCAUGGUUAUUAUACAACAACGUGGUGAUGCCACCUUUCUCCUCGCCAAACCCUGGAAGACAGCAAAAAAACCUAUUGGCAACUGUAUGCAACAAGCCACUACUAUUAAUAAUAAUAAUAUUAAAUUAUAUACCAAAAAGCGACGUUACAGAUGUUUCAUUUUAUUUAUAUAGCCUAAAAACAGAUAUCCUUCUAGUAGAAAAAAAAUUAUUUUGUGAUUGUAAAUUUUGAUGGUCAAUUGGAAGAUGAAAGGUUAUGCCAUGAGGAUACCAUGUUGAUCUGAAUAAGCACCUGGGCCGCUUAUUUAAUUUUUUGGGUCUUUCAUGAAGGGUUUUUUUUUAUUAUGUGUAUAAAUACAUAGAUUGACACCAUUCAAGUGAUGCUUUUGUUUAGAUCUUUUAGAGCUCAAACGGGGGCAGGGGCGUAGCCAGGGGGUGGCCUAGGGGGCCCGGCCCCCCUUUUAGCAGCCAAAAGGUAAAUGUAUGAGACAGUAAAUGUAUGAGAAAUUAUCUAAAAUACAGGAGAAAAUGCUUUGAAUGCGCCUUUUAGGCCCCCUCCUGUUAAAAAUCCUGGCUACACCGCUACAGAAAUGCUUGCUACGCAGGCUAGGGAGGGGGCGCUUUUUUAAUCACUGUUAGCCACAAAAAGUGAAAUCUUUUAAAGUGAGGAACUUUCUCACUUGGGAUUCUUCACUAAGUUAUGACUCCAUAUGCCGAUGUGGUAGUAACUUUACCUGUGAGAAAUCUGUGUGCAUAAAACUGUGGCAAUUCUUCUGUAAAAACAUAACUAGCAGUUAGUACUGGAUAAGAAUAUAUCAAUAGCGAACAGGAACGAAAUUUUGACUUUAAGGAGUGCUACAAAGAUAAAAAAAAGCAUUCAAUUUAUAUUGACACCUCA